rnacentral:rRNA from 1 species
AGCGAACGCUGGCGGCAGGCUUAACACAUGCAAGUCGAACGCCCCGCAAGGGGAGUGGCAGACGGGUGAGUAACACGUGGGAACGUACCCUUUGGUUCGGAAUAACUUGGGGAAACUCAAGCUAAUACCGGAUAAGCCCUUUUGGGGAAAGGUUUACCGCCGAAGGAUCGGCCCGCGUCUGAUUAGCUAGUUGGUGAGGUAAUGGCUCACCAAGGCGACGAUCAGUAGCUGGUCUGAGAGGAUGAUCAGCCACACUGGGACUGAGACACGGCCCAGACUCCUACGGGAGGCAGCAGUGGGGAAUAUUGGACAAUGGGGGCAACCCUGAUCCAGCCAUGCCGCGUGAGUGAUGAAGGCCUUAGGGUUGUAAAGCUCUUUUACCCGGGACGAUAAUGACUGUACCGGGAGAAUAAGCCCCGGCUAACUUCGUGCCAGCAGCCGCGGUAAAAC